rnacentral:rRNA from 1 species
AUUGAACGCUGGCGGCAUGCCUUACACAUGCAAGUCGAACGGCAGCACGGGGGCAACCCUGGUGGCGAGUGGCGAACGGGUGAGUAAUGCAUCGGAACGUGCCCAGUAGUGGGGGAUAACUAGUCGAAAGGUUAGCUAAUACCGCAUACGACCUAUGGGUGAAAGCGGGGGAUUCGCAAGAACCUCGCGCUAUCGGAGCGGCCGAUGUCUGAUUAGCUAGUUGGCGGGGAAAAGCCCACCAAGGCUUCGAUCAGUAGCUGGUCUGAGAGGACGACCAGCCACACUGGGACUGAGACACGGCCCAGACUCCUACGGGAGGCAGC